GUUACCACAGGCUUUAGCCUCUAACCAGUGGGGAUGCUAAGAAGAACAUGUGGUGUGGGGUUUUAAUUAAAUCACCAUGGCUACCAGAAACGGGGGAAGGUUAAAGAUUCUGUUUCAUAAGUAGUCAAGACAAGAGGACUGACAAGACCUAAAGCAUACAGACAUGGACACAUACUUUAGAAAGUAUAACAAUGAUCGCAUGUUUGUACAAAUGUAGGAGAAAAGGAGAGAAAGACAAUCAGUUUGUAAAAGGACCACAGAGAAUUCAGAAUGGAGCUUGGGAUUCGGGCAUUCACUGCAUGCAAUUUGAGAAUGAAAUGCUGGUGAUGCUAAGUGAGAAGAGCACUUGCUUGGCCUGACCACGGGUGGCAGCUCAAGUUUCUGCAGUAGAAGAGAAGGCGGCUGAUGCAUCCUGCAUAAUGUACCUGAGCGAGUUUACUGAUGAUACCCAGAUGAGCAGCUGGAAUCAUGGAAGAAAUGCGGCCAUCACUUCAAAAGCACUCCAGGUAGAAGAGGCAAUUGUAGGAGAAAUCCUAUUACAAAAACAUAUGGAACAGCUGCAAAUGUAACGUUUUGCUUUAUUCCUUGGAACAAAACCACAAGAAAGUUCAAAAAAUAACACGCACUUCUAAAGCUACCACUUAAAAUCAAGAAAUGCCAAUACUUUAUACUUUGUCAAUUGAUCAAUAAAAAUUAGACAUUUUUGAGGGAGAGAACUGUCCCUUUCUUUUUCUGUCUUAU
rnacentral:lncRNA from 1 species